rnacentral:lncRNA from 1 species
UAUCAGGCACCAAGAGCCUCUGGGAAAUUGAGUACCAGUGCCCAACUGCUGCUCUCAUGAGGGCAAUGGAAGUGGGAAACAGAGGCACCUAUAAGGGACACAGAGAUGCCAAAGCUCAGAUACCAGCAUCUUAGUCCAGGGAACUAGGAGAUGGAGCCCUGGGCUAAAGCAUGCCCUUUUGGUCCUUCUUCUCUCCUAGACCCUAGGGCCUAUGGCCUGGCUGUACCAGCAUGGCUCAUGUCCAAUAUAGUUCCCCCUUCUCUCUUCUCUAGAGCAUGGGAAUGGGCUGGGAGCCAGAGGCUGUAGGUUCCAUCUUCCCUCCUUACCCAUCAUAGGCUUGGCCAGUAGGGCCAUGGACAUUAGGGAGGGAGG